rnacentral:rRNA from 1 species
AUACGGAGGAUCCGAGCGUUAUCCGGAUUUAUUAGGUUUAAAGGGUGCGCAGGCGGAAAUGUAAGUCACCGGUGAAAUCCUACAGCUUAACUGUAGAACUGCCGGUGAUACUGUAUUUCUUGAGUAUAGUUGAGGUAGGCGGAAUGUGUAGUGUAGCGGUGAAAUGCAUAGAUAUUACGCAGAACACCGAUUGCGAAGGCAGCUUACUAAACUAUUACUGACGCUCAUGCACGAAAGCGUGGGGAGCGAACAGGAUUAGAAACCCCAGUAGUCC